GACGAACGCUGGCGGCGUGCCUAAUACAUGCAAGUCGAACGCACUCUCGUUUAGAUUGAAGGAGCUUGCUCCUGAUUGAUAGACAUUUGAGUGAGUGGCGGACGGGUGAGUAACACGUGGGUAACCUGCCCUAAAGUGGGGGAUAACAUUUGGAAACAGAUGCUAAUACCGCAUAAAACCUAACACCGCAUGGUGUAGGGUUGAAAGAUGGUUUCGGCUAUCACUUUAGGAUGGACCCGCGGUGCAUUAGUUAGUUGGUGAGGUAAAGGCUCACCAAGACCGUGAUGCAUAGCCGACCUGAGAGGGUAAUCGGCCACACUGGGACUGAGACACGGCCCAGACUCCUACGGGAGGCAGCAGUAGGGAAUCUUUCCACAAUGGACGAAAGUCUGAUGGAGCAAACGCCGCGUGAGUGAAGAAGGUUUUCGGAUCGUAAAAACUCUGUUGUUGGAGAAGAAAUGUAAUCUGAUAGUAACUGAUCAGGUAGUGACGGUAUCCAACCAGAAAG
rnacentral:rRNA from 1 species